AUCAUGGCUCAGAGUGAACGCUGGCGGUAGGCCUAACACAUGCAAGUCGAACGGCAGCACAGUAAGAGCUUGCUCUUACGGGUGGCGAGUGGCGGACGGGUGAGGAAUGCAUCGGAAUCUACUCUGUCGUGGGGGAUAACGUAGGGAAACUUACGCUAAUACCGCAUACGACCUACGGGUGAAAGCAGGGGAUCUUCGGACCUUGCGCGAUUGAAUGAGCCGAUGCCCGAUUAGCUAGUUGGCGGGGUAAGAGCCCACCAAGGCGACGAUCGGUAGCUGGUCUGAGAGGAUGAUCAGCCACACUGGAACUGAGACACGGUCCAGACUCCUACGGGAGGCAGCAGUGGGGAAUAUUGGACAAUGGGCGCAAGCCUGAUCCAGCCAUACCGCGUGGGUGAAGAAGGCCUUCGGGUUGUAAAGCCCUUUUGUUGGGAAAGAAAAGCAUUCGGUUAAUACCCGAUUGUUCUGACGGUACCCAAAGAAUAAGCACCGGCUAACUUCGUGCCAGCAGCCGCGGUAAUACGAAGGGUGCAAGCGUUACUCGGAAUUACUGGGCGUAAAGCGUGCGUAGGUGGUUGUUUAAGUCUGUCGUGAAAGCCCUGGGCUCAACCUGGGAAUUGCGAUGGAAACUGGGCGACUAGAGUGUGGCAGAGGGUAGUGGAAUUCCUGGUGUAGCAGUGAAAUGCGUAGAGAUCAGGAGGAACAUCCGUGGCGAAGGCGACUGCCUGGGCCAAACACUGACACUGAGGCACGAAAGCGUGGGGAGCAAACAGGGAUUAGAUACCCUGGUUAGUCCACGCCCUAAACGAUGCGAACUGGAUGUUGGGUGCAAAUUUGGCACGCAGUAUCGAAGCUAACGCGUUAAGUUCGCCGCCUGGGGGAGUACGGGUCGCAAGAACUGAAACUCAAAAGGAAAUUGACGGGGGCCCCGCCACCAGCCGGUGGAAGUAUGUGGGUUUAAAUUCGAUGCCACGCGAAAUAACCUUUACCCUGGGCUUGAACAUGCACGGAACUUCCAUGAGAUGGAUUGGUGGCCUUCGGGGAACCCGUGGACCCAGGUGCUUGCCAUGGCGUG
rnacentral:rRNA from 1 species